rnacentral:tRNA from 1 species
GCAGACGUGGCCGAGUGGCUGAGGCGAUGGACUAGAAAUCCAUUCGGGUUCGGAUCCAAUCGACCGCG